UUUAUGGAGAGUUUGAUCCUGGCUCAGGAUGAACGCUGGCGGCGUGCCUAAUACAUGCAAGUCGAGCGAACGGACGAGAAGCUUGCUUCUCUGAUGUUAGCGGCGGACGGGUGAGUAACACGUGGAUAACCUACCUAUAAGACUGGGAUAACUUCGGGAAACCGGAGCUAAUACCGGAUAAUAUUUUGAACCGCAUGGUUCAAAAGUGAAAGACGGUCUUGCUGUCACUUAUAGAUGGAUCCGCGCUGCAUUAGCUAGUUGGUAAGGUAA
rnacentral:rRNA from 1 species